rnacentral:lncRNA from 1 species
AGGGGCCACAAAAGACUCGAGCACACACAGUAUACAAUAGUGUGAUUCAUAAUUUUUAGGUUUCAAAAAAUGUAAUCCAUCAGUUCAAAAGUUUGGAAUAUUUAACACCAUUGUCCAUGAGAUCAGAAACAUUUAUUCAAUUAGAUUGAAGUCCUCAGAAAAAUCAACUCCAUAGCUUUUGAGGGGAGGGAGGUGCAAUUUGAUUUACUACCAAGUGGGGAUUUGAGGAGGGGCAGGUAUUUUGGGAGUUUGGGUAGGGAGAUUUCUUUUUUUAGGCUUUUAUAUUUUUCUACUUCUAGGUGGCUAUGAAGUAUCCUGGUCUCCUAAUGUUUGUCUAGAUAAAACUUAUCUUUAAACAGAGACCUUAUACUGAUAGGAAAUGCAGUCUUUGGGGAGAGUUUCAAUGCAGCCCCCUUCCCCGGAUCACUGCAGAAGGUGGUCCUCAGGGGGCUGCGAAGCCAGGACACAUCAACUGUAAGUACCUACCCCACCCCCCCAUCCCACAGAAGCUGCUGGCCAGUGAUGUCCUAGCAGAACAUUCUGCCUACAGGGUGCUCAGUUCACCAGCCUCACCCAGAGGAGCCUUCGGGGACCAACCUUGCAUGAAUACACACACGUGCCUGUUCUGGGGCUUGAUUUAAGCUGCUCUAAGCUGAGGUACAAUGCUUUCCCAAGGACCGUGAACUAGGAUAGUUACAUGGGUCCUUCAUGGGGCAGCAUCUAUUUAAGAGGCUGGACCUUGUGUUCCUCUUGAAAUAAUCAGAUCCCUAGAACCAAUUCACUCUACCAGGGGCUUUUUUAACAUGCUGGUCAAAAUCUGGAGAAGAUUAUCUGAAGAAAGCUCCAGAUCUUCUGGCAUGUAAGGCAGCCCUAGUAGACAUCAAGUAAUCCUGCAGUGCACAGGGAUAAAACAGAAGGGUCCCAUGACACCAAACAGUAGCCAUGCUUGCUGGCUGGGCCUCCUGAUGGCUCUUGGCACUGUAUUUUCUAGUACCGUUUCCAUUAGUAUUACAUGAGAGUAAAUAUCCUGAACGUCUGCCUGGAUCCAAGCAUUUCCUGGAAGCAUGACUGCUUCAUCGUCCUCUCUAUGCCCAUGCAAGGUACAGCUAGGAGUGAAUAGCACUCUGGAGAAAACAGCCAGGCAGACAUCAUCCUGAGAAAGCGGGUUAGAGAAGGGACCAGAAGUCGGACGAAUCCAGUAUCCAAUCACCAAAGACCAGCAUCGCUGAAGAAUGCCCAUUUCAAUACAGUGUGGUCCAGCCACCUUGUAAUUUCUUCAGUCCAGUUAGAUUUUAGUCCAGGGCUGGCCCCCAGAGGCCACAGACAUUCAGAAUUCUACUCAACUUUCAGGCAUGAAGACGGUUCUUAAUUCCGUGUCCGACGAACCUUAGCCAAGGUCCCUUCCCUUCCUGUGUCUCGUAAGGCUACAGCCCAGAGGAUGAAAGAUAAACCUUUCAUUCACGACAAUAUAACAAAACUCUUGGAACCUUUGGCUUCCCAACGCCAUAGCCAUAGCCACCCUUGGAAAUAUGUACUCAUUUAAAAGCCCGCUCUUAAAAACACAAAGUCUUCUCCUACUGUGGACUCAAGUUCUCCCCAAAUCAGGACAGGCCGCCUCCACA